rnacentral:rRNA from 1 species
AUUGAACGCUGGCGGCAUGCCUAACACAUGCAAGUCGAACGGCAGCACAGUCUAGCUUGCUAGACGGGUGGCGAGUGGCGAACGGGUGAGUAACGCGUAGGAAUAUACCUUGAAGUGGGGGAUAACCUGGGGAAACUCAGGCUAAUACCGCGUAAUCUCUUCGGAGGGAAGCUGGGGACCGCAAGGCCUGGCGCUUUAAGAUUAGCCUGCGUCCGAUUAGCUAGUUGGUGGGGUAAAGGCCUACCAAGGCGACGAUCGGUAGCUGGUCUGAGAGGAUGAUCAGCCACACUGGGACUGAGACACGGCCCAGACUCCUACGGGAGGCAGCAGUGGGGAAUAUUGGACAAUGGGGGGAACCCUGAUCCAGCAAUGCCGCGUGUGUGAAGAAGGCCUGAGGGUUGUAAAGCACUUUCGGCGGGGAGGAGGAUGAGUUGGUUAAGAGCUGACUUAUUGGACGUUACCCGCAUAAGAAGCACCGGCUAACUCCGUGCCAGCAGCCGCGGUAAUAC